GACGAACGCUGGCGGCGUGCCUAAUACAUGCAAGUAGAACGCUGAAGGAGGAGCUUGCUUCUCUGGAUGAGUUGCGAACGGGUGAGUAACGCGUAGGUAACCUGCCUGGUAGCGGGGGAUAACUAUUGGAAACGAUAGCUAAUACCGCAUAAUAGUAGAUGUUGCAUGACAUUUGCCUAAAAGGUGCAAUUGCAUCACUACCAGAUGGACCUGCGUUGUAUUAGCUAGUUGGUGGGGUAACGGCUCACCAAGGCGACGAUACAUAGCCGACCUGAGAGGGGGAUCGGCCACACUGGGACUGAGACACGGCCCAGACUCCUACGGGAGGCAGCAGUAGGGAAUCUUCGGCAAUGGACGGAAGUCUGACCGAGCAACGCCGCGUGAGUGAAGAAGGUUUUCGGAUCGUAAAGCUCUGUUGUAAGAGAAGAACGAGUGUGAGAGUGGAAAGUUCACACUGUGACGGUAUCUUACCAGAAAGGGACGGCUAACUACGUG
rnacentral:rRNA from 1 species